GCCGGGCGUGGUGGCGCGCGCCUGUAAUCCCAGCUACUCGGGAGGCUGAGGUGGGAGGAUUGCUUGAACCCGGGAGGCAGAGGUUGCGGUGAGCCGAGAUCGCUUCACUUGCACUGCAGCCUGGGAGACAGAGCAAGACCCCGUCUCAA
rnacentral:SRP_RNA from 1 species